GUGAGGAAUUUUCCGCAAUGGGCGAAAGCCUGACGGAGCAAUGCCGCGUGAAGGAUGAAGGCCUAUGGGUUGUAAACUUCUUUUCUCAGAAAAGAAUUAUGACGGUAUCUGAGGAAUAAGCAUCGGCUAACUCUGUGCCAGCAGCCGCGGUAAGACAGAGGAUGCAAGCGUUAUCCGGAAUGAUUGGGCGUAAAGCGUCUGUAGGUUGUUUAAAAAGUAUUCUGUCAAAGAUUAGGGCUUAACCCUAGAUAGGCAGAAUAAACUUUUAAGCUAGAGUUUGGUAGAGGCAGAGGGAAUUCCCGGUGGAGCGGUGAAAUGCGUAGAUAUCGGGAGGGACACCAAAGGCGAAGGCACUCUGCUGGGCCAAUACUAACACUGAGAGACGAAAGCGAGGGGAGCAAAUGGGAUUAGAUACCCGGGUAGUCC
rnacentral:rRNA from 1 species